AUUGAACGCUGGCGGCAGGCCUAACACAUGCAAGUCGAACGAGAGGCGGACGGGUGAGUAAUGUAUGGGGAUCUGCCUGAUGGAGGGGGAUAACUACUGGAAACGGUAGCUAAUACCGCAUACCAUCAGAUGAACCCAUAUGGGAUUAGCUGGUAGGUAAGGUAACGGCUUACCAAGGCGACGAUGCCUAGCUGGUCUGAGAGGAGGCUCAGCAACACGGGGACGGAGACACGGCCCAGACUCCUACGGGAGGCAGCAGUGGGGAAUUUUUGACAAUGGGCGAAAGCCUGAUGCAGCCAGGCCGCGUGGAUGAAGAAGGUCUUCGGGUUGUAAAGUACGUUCAGCAGGGAAGCGUUACCUAAAGAAGAAGCACCGGCUAACUCCGUGCCAGCAGCCGCGGUAAUUC
rnacentral:rRNA from 1 species